GAGUUUGAUCCUGGCUCAGAUUGAACGCUGGCGGCAGGCCUAACACAUGCAAGUCGAGCGGAUGACGGGAGCUUGCUCCUUGAUUCAGCGGCGGACGGGUGAGUAAUGCCUAGGAAUCUGCCUGGUAGUGGUGGACAACGUUUCGAAAGGAACGCUAAUACCGCAUACGUCCUACGGGAGAAAGCAGGGGGCCUUCGGGCCUUGCGCUAUCAGAUGAGCCUAGGUCGGAUUAGCUAGUUGGUGGGGUAAUGGCUCACCAAGGCGACGAUCCGUAACUGGUCUGAGAGGAUGAUCAGUCACACUGGAACUGAGACACGGUCCAGACUCCUACGGGAGGCAGCAGUGGGGGAAUAUUGGACAAUGGGCGAAAGCCUGAUCCAGCCAUGCCGCGUGUGUGAAGAAGGUCUUCGGAUUGUAAAGCACUUUAAGUUGGGAGGAAGGGCAGUAAGUUAAUACCUUGCUGUUUUGACGUUACCGACAGAAUAAGCACCGGCUAACUCUGUGCCAGCA
rnacentral:rRNA from 1 species